rnacentral:rRNA from 1 species
AUUGAACGCUGGCGGCAGGCUUAACACAUGCAAGUCGAGCGGGGUGAUGGUGCUUGCACUAUCACUUAGCGGCGGACGGGUGAGUAAUGCUUAGGAAUCUGCCUAUUAGUGGGGGACAACAUCUCGAAAGGGAUGCUAAUACCGCAUACGUCCUACGGGAGAAAGCAGGGGAUCACUUGUGACCUUGCGCUAAUAGAUGAGCCUAAGUCGGAUUAGCUAGUUGGUGGGGUAAAGGCCUACCAAGGCGACGAUCUGUAGCGGGUCUGAGAGGAUGAUCCGCCACACUGGGACUGGGACACGGCCCAGACUCCUAGGGGAGGCAGCAGUGGGGAAUAUUGGACAAUGGGGGGAACCCUGAUCUAGCCAUGCCGCGUGUGUGAAGAAGGCCUUAUGGUUGUAAAGCACUUUAAGCGAGGAGGAGGCUCUUUUGGUUAAUACCCAAGAUGAGUGGACGUUACUCGCAGAAUAAGCACCGGCUAACUCUGUGCCAGCCGCCGCCGUAA